rnacentral:rRNA from 1 species
AUUGAACGCUGGCGGCAUGCCUUACACAUGCAAGUCGAACGGUAACAGGUUAAGCUGACGAGAGGCGAACGGGUGAGUAAUGUAUCGGAACGUGCCCAGUCGUGGGGGAUAACUGCUCGAAAGAGCAGCUAAUACCGCAUACGACCUGAGGGUGAAAGCGGGGGAUCGCAAGACCUCGCGCGAUUGGAGCGGCCGAUAUCAGAUUAGGUAGUUGGUGAGGUAAAGGCUCACCAAGCCGACGAUCUGUAGCUGGUCUGAGAGGACGACCAGCCACACUGGGACUGAGACACGGCCCAGACUCCUACGGGAGGCAGCAGUGGGGAAUUUUGGACAAUGGGCGCAAGCCUGAUCCAGCCAUGCCGCGUGCGGGAAGAAGGCCUUCGGGUUGUAAACCGCUUUUGUCAGGGAAGAAAAGGUUCUGGCUAAUACCUGGGACUCAUGACGGUACCUGAAGAAUAAGCACCGGCUAACUACGUGCCAGCCGCCGCAGUAAGAC